UACGUAGGGUGCAAGCGUUAAUCGGAAUUACUGGGCGUAAAGCGUGCGCAGGCGGUGAUGUAAGACAGUUGUGAAAUCCCCGGGCUCAACCUGGGAACUGCAUCUGUGACUGCAUUGCUGGAGUGCGGCAGAGGGGGAUGGAAUUCCGCGUGUAGCAGUGAAAUGCGUAGAUAUGCGGAGGAACACCGAUGGCGAAGGCAAUCCCCUGGGCCUGCACUGACGCUCAUCCGCGAAAGCGUGGGGAGCAAACAGG
rnacentral:rRNA from 1 species